rnacentral:rRNA from 1 species
GAUGAACGCUGGCGGCGUGCCUAAUACAUGCAAGUCGAGCGAACGGACGAGAAGCUUGCUUCUCUGAUGUUAGCGGCGGACGGGUGAGUAACACGUGGAUAACCUACCUAUAAGACUGGGAUAACUUCGGGAAACCGGAGCUAAUACCGGAUGAUAUUUUGAACCGCAUGGUUCAAAAGUGAAAGACGGUCUUGCUGUCACUUAUAGAUGGAUCCGCGCUGCAUUAGCUAGUUGGUAAUGUAACGGCUUACCAAGGCAACGAUGCAUAGCCGACCUGAGAGGGUGAGCGGCCACAAUGGAACUGAGACACGGUCCAGACUCCUACGGGAGGCAGCAGUAGGGAAUCUUCCGCAAUGGGCGAAAGCAUGACGGAGCAACGCCGCGUGAGUGAUGAAGGUCUUCGGAUCGUAAAACUCUGUUAUUAGGGAAGAACAUAUGUGUAAGUAACUGUGCACAUCUUGACGGUACCUAAUCAGAAAGCCACGGCUAACUACGUG